AUCCAGCUGAUGAGUCCCGAAUAGGAUGGAACAUGCGUUCUGGAU
rnacentral:hammerhead_ribozyme from 1 species